rnacentral:rRNA from 1 species
UACGUAGGCAGCAAGCGUUGUUCGGAGUUACUGGGCGUAAGGGUGUGUAGGCGGUUCCUUAAGUUUGCUGUGAAAUCUCCCGGCUUAACCGGUAGGGUGCGGUGAAUACUGAGGGACUAGAGUACGGGAGAGGAAAGUGGAAUUCCAGGUGUAGCGGUGAAAUGCGUAGAUAUCUGGAGGAACACCGGUGGCGAAGGCGGCAUCCUGGACCAUGACUGACGCUGAGGAGCGAAAGCCAGGGGAGCAAACGGG